UGUUCUAAACCCUAGCCUCUCCAUCCUUCCUCUUUCACCGCCGCUUCUCUUCGUGCCCUGAAACCUUCCUUCCCCUUUGUUGUUCUACUUCAUCAUCUUUCUAUUAUUCUCGGUGAACUAUGACAUCUUCUUCUUCAAAUCACUGACCUUUAUCUUCAAGUAACAACCAUUAUCUAAUCGAUUCACACAAAAACCCUAACCUCUUCAUUUAAAUCCAACUCUUUACCCUUCUAAUCGGCGGCUAUGUACAAUCUGUUCCGAAUCAAACUCCAAUUUCUUCAUGUCAAGGAAAAUCGUUUUUUUUUUCUCCGGAUAGUAUGACUUCGCUUCCAUGGGAUGAUCGGAAAUCGAAAUCGGUGGCUAGGAUGAAAAGAGCGAAGGGAAUUUGGCGAUUUCGAAGAACAGUUCACGGUAUCUCUUACAUCAACGGUCAGUAUCUCCGAUAUUUGCUCCUUUACCGCCCGAGUAGCCAACAUUAGUACUGCCCAAAGCAAGGGGCCAUGGACGACAAACUAGAAAAGGUUUGCAGUUGCACAAGUUUGUAUUGGAGGAGGAUGUACUAGCUCAUUGAACAUCAAUAGGGUAAUUUGCUUGUGAGUAGUAUUGUAGGGUUAUGUUGUGCUUAUCGAAGGUUUGAGCACAAGAAAAGUUCUCUUUGCAAUGAGCUCUUGCAGCUUCUCAAGUUCUCAGAGCAUUGUUAGCCACUAUGGGCUCAAUAUGCAUAAUUUAAAAAGGAUGAUGAUGAAUUUAUGCAAUUCUCAAGUGGGAAGCGUACACCAACUUUUUUAAGUAUUUAAGCUGUGCAAUGAAAAUACCUGGUCACUGAUGAGAGCUUUCUACCUUUCAUUGAACUUCUCUUACAGAUCUUUGUUGUGAUGAGCGUUUUUUGGCAGGUUCUGGGCAUGUUUUGGGUGGAGAUCUUGCUGGUUCACCAAGUCUGAAGUGGACAUUCGGAUUAACCUGGCAAUAGCAGCUGCAUUUAUUGCUUGGAUUUUUAUUGCGCACAAUGCUGAGUGGAAACUUGUGCAGUUUUUUUUAACAAGCAAUCGUUUGUAGUGUCUAUGAGUUAGAUUUACUUACCCAAGACAAUGCUUAUUAUGAUGUAAUUGUUAAUUAUACGAACUCAUUUAAUAUAUGAAUGCUUGCGCUCACGCUCGGUUCGGUUUGAGCUUUGUUUCCAAAGCUCGAGCUUGGCUCGGGCUCGGCACAUUUAUUAUUUCCAAA